UUCCUAUUCGGCCAUCUUGGUUCCUCCCUUGGAAAUGUGUUUUUUAUAGACAUAGACACAAAUCUUGACGAACACUUCAGCCCUGCCUCCAGAAUGAAAGGGGGAAACCUAGACCUGAAUGGGCUUGACCAUCUCACAGCUGCUCACGUGAUGACCAUAUUCGUGGCAGGUAAAAAGAUUGCUGUAUCAACUCAAGAAAGCAGUAGCCUCACUGUCUUUGUAUUUUGAAUUGCAACAAC
rnacentral:lncRNA from 10 species